UGCAGAGAUAGGGACGCGCUUA
rnacentral:miRNA from 1 species